UGCCAGACUCCUACGGGAGGCAGCAGUGAGGAAUAUUGGUCAAUGGCCGAGAGGCUGAACCAGCCAAGUCGCGUGAGGGAAGACGGCCCUACGGGUUGUAAACCUCUUUUGUCGGGGAGCAAAGCGAGUCACGUGUGACUCAUUGAGAGUACCCGAAGAAAAAGCAUCGGCUAACUCCGUGCCAGCAGCCGCGGUAAUACGGAGGAUGCGAGCGUUAUCCGGAUUUAUUGGGUUUAAAGGGUGCGUAGGCGGGAUGCCAAGUCAGCGGUAAAAAUGCGGUGCUCAACGCCGUCGAGCCGUUGAAACUGGCGUUCUUGAGUGGGCGAGAAGUAUGCGGAAUGCGUGGUGUAGCGGUGAAAUGCAUAGAUAUCACGCAGAACUCCGAUUGCGAAGGCAGCAUACCGGCGCCCUACUGACGCUGAGGCACGAAAGCGUGGGUAUCGAACAGGAUUAGAUACCCGCGUAGA
rnacentral:rRNA from 1 species